rnacentral:rRNA from 1 species
GACGAACGCUGGCGGCGUGCUUAACACAUGCAAGUCGAACGGAAAGGCCCCUUUGGGGGUACUCGAGUGGCGAACGGGUGAGUAACACGUGAGUAAUCUGCCCUUGACUUCGGGAUAACUUCAGGAAACUGGGGCUAAUACCGGAUAGGAAUCCUUGCUGCAUGGUGGGGGUUGGAAAGCUUCGGCGGUUUUGGAUGGACUCGCGGCUUAUCAGCUUGUUGGUGGGGUAGUGGCUUACCAAGGCUUUGACGGGUAGCCGGCCUGAGAGGGCGACCGGCCACAUUGGGACUGAGAUACGGCCCAGACUCCUACGGGAGGCAGCAGUGGGGAAUAUUGCACAAUGGGCGGAAGCCUGAUGCAGCAACGCCGCGUGCGGGAUGACGGCCUUCGGGUUGUAAACCGCUUUCAGCAGGGGCGAAGCUUGUGGUGACGGUACCUGCAGAAGAAGCACCGGCUAACUACGUG